GACGGCUCAGUAACACGUGGCUAACCUACCCUCGGGUGGGGGAUAACCUCGGGAAACUGAGGAUAAUACCCCAUAGGAGAAGAGGUCUGGAAUGAUCCUUCUCUGAAAACAUAUGUGCCCGAGGAUGGGGCUGCGUCUGAUUAGGUAGUUGGUGGGGUAACGGCCCACCAAGCCUACGAUCAGUACGGGCCUUGAGAGAGGCAGCCCGGAGAUGGGGACUGAGACACGGCCCCAGGCCCUACGGGGCGCAGCAGGCGCGAAACCUCCGCAAUGCACGAAAGUGCGACGGGGGGACCCCAAGUGCUUACGCACUGCGUAGGCUUUUCUAAAGUGUAAAAAGCUUUAGGAAUAAGGGCUGGGCAAGUCCGGUGCCAGCAGCCGCGGUAACACCGGCGGCCCGAGUGGUGACCACUUUUAUUGGGCCUAAAGCGUCCGUAGCCGGUCCAGUAAGUCCCUGUUUAAAUCCUACGGCUUAACCGUAGGGCUGGCAGGGAUACUGCUGGACUUGGGACCGGGAGAGGGCGAGGGUACUUCAGGGGUAGCGGUGAAAUGUGUUGAUCCCUGGAGGACCACCUAUGGCGAAGGCACUCGCCUGGAACG
rnacentral:rRNA from 1 species